rnacentral:rRNA from 1 species
UACGAAGGGGGCUAGCGUUGCUCGGAAUCACUGGGCGUAAAGCGCACGUAGGCGGCUUCUUAAGUCAGGGGUGAAAUCCUGGAGCUCAACUCCAGAACUGCCUUUGAUAUUGAGAAGCUUGAGUCCGGGAGAGGUGAGUGGAACUGCGAGUGUAGAGGUGAAAUUCGUAGAUAUUCGCAAGAACACCAGUGGCGAAGGCGGCUCACUGGCCCGGAACUGACGCUGAGGCGCGAAAGCGUGGGGAGCAAACAGG